rnacentral:rRNA from 1 species
GAGUUUGAUCGUGGCUCAGAGUGAACGCUGGCGGCAGGCCUAACACAUGCAAGUCGAGCGGCAGCGCGGGGGCAACCCUGGCGGCGAGCGGCGGACGGGUGGGGAAUGCGUCGGAAUCUGCCUCUUUGUGGGGGAUAACGUAGGGAAACUUACGCUAAUACCGCAUACGACCUAUGGGUGAAAGUGGGGGACCGCAAGGCCUCACGCAGAGAGAUGAGCCGACGCCGGAUUAGCUAGUUGGCGGGGUAAAGGCCCACCAAGGCGACGAUCCGUAGCUGGUCUGAGAGGAUGAUCAGCCACACUGGAACUGAGACACGGUCCAGACUCCUACGGGAGGCAGCAGUGGGGAAUAUUGGACAAUGGGCGCAAGCCUGAUCCAGCCAUGCCGCGUGUGUGAAGAAGGCCUUCGGUUGUAAG